rnacentral:tRNA from 1 species
GCCUGGGUGGCUUAGUCGGUUGAGUGUUGGACUUCAGCUCAAGUCAUGAUGUCGCAGUCUGUGAGUUCGAGCCCCACUUUGGGCU